AAGAAAGAAGAAGCGCCCUCCAAUGACAGCGCCUGUGGGUGUCGUGACAAGGAGUUCCUGCCUAGAGGAUCCCGUGAGUGAGCGAGGCCUCAGAGACACCAGCGGCCCGGGAGCCUCCCUGGAGAUCUCCAUGGUUACCAACAGCAACCCAACUGUCCAUGCUGGGUUUGACCACAUCUCUCUUAAGACAGAAGGAUGGACCAGACAUCUUGGGGUUUCUCUGCGCCCUAGACUCCACAAGAGAAUCAAACAAAAGAAACUGUGUAUAUGAGGACCCUACCUGUUUAAAGUUGUCAGCCAGAAACACGAAAUAGACACAGCAGAAUCCCAGCUGAGUGACGAUCAGGAAGAAGUCCACGGUGCGCCUGGAGACGGGAGGGAGGAGUAGAAAGAUCAUCACGACACAGAUGCAAGACCCCAGAGAGACGGUGACUUAAAGGUGCUGCUGAAGUCAUCACAGACCCUUCCCAGCAGGUGGCGAGGACAAGCAUGUCCUGGUGAGGGAAGAAAUGUGUCCGUGCCCCCAGCCUGGAGCUUCGGGGAAGGAGAGGAGGCUCUGUCCUUGGGCUCCCAAGGUCCCUUUCCUGGUCCUCUGUCUAGACUGCUGCCUGAGGACAGGGAGUCAGCACAGCACAGCUCGGGCUCCGUGACCACAGUGCAGCCCCGACCUCCUCCUGGCCCACUGCCCACACGCCCCAUUUCAGGCAAAUAAAAGACCUGGAAGAACACCCUUCAUGGGAUCGUCCUAUAACCUGUACCCAAAAACUGACCUAAAUGUUCCCAAACCGACAGCUGGUGGGAGGACAGUUAUGCAAUAGCUGACAACAACCUAAAGGGCCAUCCUCAGGAAAGCAAUUAAAUUAUAGACCAUUCCUAAAUGGGGCACUGUUUAGCAGCUGGAAAGAGUGUAUUAGGUCAUAAAAUUUGUUUAUUUA